rnacentral:tRNA from 1 species
UCCUUGGUGGCUCAGACGGUAAAGUGUCUGCCUACAAUGUGGGAGACCUGGGUUCAAUCCCUGGUUCAGGAA